GGUGAGAACCCUAGCCGCCCUGCCUUUCUCGCACGCUCGAGCGCGAUGCAUCUUGCUGCCGCGGUGCCGCCGCCAUCCUCCGCCCCCUCCCCCUCCCCCGUCCCCGCUCCCCCAACUCCCCUCCCAUCGCCCACCCGCCUCGCCGUCGCUCUCGCGUUGCCGAUCUCGCCGCUGCCGCUGCUCGUCGUCGCCAUCGUCGAGAGGAGAGCGACAGGUGGACCAGGCGCGUCGCCAUCGACGGGAGAUGCGCAGGAACCGCCAGCGCUCCUCCGGCGACCAAUCCUUCUCUCUCGCCCGUCGUCGCGCCCCCGUCGUGCUCGUGCAUCACAUCAUCGGGAGGAGGGUAAGUAGAUCCGCCGCCCACUCUCUUCCUGCACCAUCCUCACCGACUAUUUUGUGCGGGUCAUUGACGGCAUGGUUUCUUCAUUGCUGCUCUGGAGCUCCACUGAGGUGAGGUCACCCCUUCCUUGUUCUCAUAGCCUCCGUUCCUUUCUAGGCAGAGAUGAUGGGAAGAAGAGGCAAGGUCGUAUGUGGUUGUUGGCUCACCCACGCUGCUGGCGCUGAGGCGGAUGCCGAUGCCAUCGUUUCCUCUGGCCAGCUUUGCCCAUGUUUCUGGGGACGUUGCGCCCUCUACGGCCGGAAGCCCCUCGCCCUGGCGCCGCCACUACGUGCCGCCCCCAACGCCAACAUCGGUAUCUCUCUACUGAUCUCCUUUUUUGUGGCAUAUAUGCCAGGAAACUGAGCCAUCCAUGUAAGGUUGCAGGCACCUAUUACAACAAGGUUAUUCUCAUUCUUCUCCUAUUAAUAAGCAGCUAGAUCCAAGAUGUGUUCACACUCUUUGGCACUGCUAAAGACACUUCACGAAAGUCAGGUGUGUAAGCCGUAAAGCCGAGGGAGCUCGACCAGGUCGCUUCUUCUUGCCGUUGAAGCGCCGGAUCUGUUGAUGCGGACUGGUUCGUUUUUUGCGGCUGCUGCUUCUUUUGGUCGAUACCCUCCUUGGAUUUUCGUUCGAUCUGAGCCAGUGUUCACGACUUCAUCCAGGGAACUGCAGAAAUUGGAUGCUUCAAAGGAUUUGAUUAUUGUAGGUGAGUGUGAUAAUCUGCAGUCUCACAUGCAUCAUUAGCUUCCCUUAUCAUGCAACAGAUAGCUGUGCAGGAGCAGCUCGGGGACAAAGCCAAGGUCUAAAAUGCUGAAUCCCAAUAAAGUGGUACUGUAUAUCUCAGAUGCAGGAUGACAAACUUGUGAACUAGGCAGCAAAAGGACGGAAAGAGCCCGAUGGCGUUGUAGCUAUCGCCCCCUUCAGCGUCCAGGAACCAGGCAAAACGCCAUUGUCAAUGUGAGCGGCGACGAGCGAAUGGGCAGCGACCUCAUGCACCAUGGCAUGACAAUCAGAUCGGCGACGUGAUCGUUGUGCUGGACAAUGCCAAGGAUCAGUUCGUUUUUGUCAAUUGUCGUGUGGGAUUCUAUGCCCACCCUUUUCUGAAAACUUCUGUUUUUGUUAUUCAAAAUAUUUAAGAACUUGUGAAAUUUGUUAUCUUUUGUAAGUAAAUGGCGGUGUCAAAGUGUCUUGUAUAUUUCAAUUAAUUCUCAACAGGUUGCCAACAAACUUA